rnacentral:rRNA from 1 species
AUACGUAGGGUGCAAGCGUUAAUCGGAAUUACUGGGCGUAAAGCGUGCGCAGGCGGUUCGGAAAGAAAGAUGUGAAAUCCCAGAGCUUAACUUUGGAAUGGCUAUUUUUAACUACCGGGCUAGAGUAUGUCAGAGGGGGGUAGAAUUCCACGUGUAGCAGUGAAAUGCGUAGAGAUGUGGAGGAAUACCGAUGGCGAAGGCAGCCCCCUGGGAUAAUACUGACGCUCAUGCACGAAAGCGUGGGGAGC